CUCAAAGAUGAUGAGGUUAAUAGGUUCGAGGUGGAAGCAUGGUGACAUGUGGAGCUGACGAAUACUAAUCGAUCGAAGACUUAAUCAAAUU
rnacentral:rRNA from 1 species